rnacentral:rRNA from 1 species
CAGUCGCGAAAACUUUGCAAUACACGAAAGUGUGACAGGGCUAUCCCGAGUGCCAUCCGCUGAGGAAGGCUUCUACCCAGUCUAGAACGCUGGGGGAAUAAGGAGAGGGCAAGUCUGGUGUCAGCCGCCGCGGUAAUACCAGCUCUCCGAGUGGUGUGGAUGUUUAUUGGGCCUAAAGCAUCCGUAGCUGGCUAGGUAAGUCCCUUGUUAAAUCCACCGAAUUAAUCGUUGGAUCGCGGGGGAUACUGCUUGGCUAGGGGACGAGAGAGGCAGACGGUAUUUUUGGGGUAGGGGUGAAAUCCUAUAAUCCCAGGAAGACCACCAGUGGCGAAGGCUGUCUGCUAGAACGCGCCCGACGGUGAGGGAUGAAAGCUGGGGGAGCGAACCGGAUUAGAUACCCGGGUAGUCCCAGCUGUAAACGAUGCAGACUAGGUGUUUGGACGGCCACGUGCCGUUCUAGUGCCGCAGGAAGCUGUUAAGUCUGCCGCCUGGGGAGUACGAUCGCAAGAUUGAAACUUAAGG